rnacentral:pre_miRNA from 1 species
UAUAUACUCCCUCCGUUCUGAAUUACUUGUCUUAGAUUUGUCUAGAUGCGAAGGUAUCUAGCACUAAAAUGAGUCUAGAUACAUCCGUAUCUAGAAAAAUCCAAGACAAGUAAUUCGGAACGGAGGGAGUACUUG